UACGGAAUGUGCAAACGUUAUUCGGAAUCACUGGGCUUAAAGAGUCCGUAGGCGGCUUGUUAGGUGAGGUGUGAAAUCCCUCGGCCCAACCGAGGAAUUGCGCUUCAAACCGGCAAGCUUGAGGAGGAUAGAGGUGGGCGGAACUGAUGGUGGAGCGGUGAAAUGCGUUGAUAUCAUCAGGAACACCGGAGGCGAAAGCGGUCCACUGGGUCCUUUCUGACGCUGAGGGACGAAAGCUAGGGGAGCGAACGGGAGUAGAA
rnacentral:rRNA from 1 species